rnacentral:rRNA from 1 species
GUGCCAGCAGCCGCGGUAAGACGUAGGACGCGAGCGUUAUCCGGAUUUACUGGGCGUAAAGCGUCUGUAGGCGGAUGUGUAAGUUGGGCGUGAAAGCUCCGGGCUUAACCCGGAGAGGCCGUUCAAUACUGCAUAACUUGAGGGUGUCAGAGGGGAGCGGAAUUCCCGGUGUAGCGGUAAAAUGCGCAGAGAUCGGGAGGAACACCAGUGGCGGAGGCGGUUCCCGGGGGCACACCUGACGCUGAGAGACGAAAGCUAGGGGAGCGAACAGGAUUAGAGACCCUGGUAGUCCUAGCCCUAAACGAUGAAUGCUAGGUGUGGGAUCGAAUGGUUCCGUGCCGGAGCGAACGCGAUAAGCAUUCCGCCUGGGGAGUACGGCCGCAAGGUUAAAACUCAAACGAAUUGACGGGGCCCCGCACAAGCAACGGAGCGUGUGGUUUAAUUCGAUGCUACACGAAGAACCUUACCUGGGUUUGACAUGUAGGUGGUAGUGAAUCGAAAGGUGAACGACCCUUCGGGGAGCCUACACAGGUGCUGCAUGGCUGUCGUCAGCUCGUGCCGUGAGGUGUCGGGUUAAGUCCCGUAACGAGCGCAACCCUUGCUCCUAGUUACAAGUGUCUAGGGGGACUGCCGGCGGAAAGCCGGAGGAAGGUGGGGAUGACGUCAAGUCAGCAUGGCCCUUAUAUCCAGGGCUACACACACGCUACAAUGGUCGGUACAAAGGGCAGCGAAACCGCGAGGCGGAGCGAAUCCGAGAAAAGCCGAUCGUAGUUCGGAUAGCAGGCUGCAACCCGCCUGC